AGUGAACGCUGGCGGUAGGCCUAACACAUGCAAGUCGAACGGCAGCACAGUAAGAGCUUGCUCUUACGGGUGGCGAGUGGCGGACGGGUGAGGAAUACAUCGGAAUCUACUUUUUCGUGGGGGAUAACGUAGGGAAACUUACGCUAAUACCGCAUACGACCUACGGGUGAAAGCAGGGGAUCUUCGGACCUUGCGCGAUUGAAUGAGCCGAUGUCGGAUUAGCUAGCUGGCGGGGUAAAGGCCCACCAAGGCGACGAUCCGUAGCUGGUCUGAGAGGAUGAUCAGCCACACUGGAACUGAGACACGGUCCAGACUCCUACGGGAGGCAGCAGUGGGGAAUAUUGGACAAUGGGCGCAAGCCUGAUCCAGCCAUACCGCGUGGGUGAAGAAGGCCUUCGGGUUGUAAAGCCCUUUUGUUGGGAAAGAAAAGCAGCAGGUUAAUACCCCGCUGUUCUGACGGUACCCAAAGAAUAAGCACCGGCUAACCUCGUG
rnacentral:rRNA from 1 species